GGUCAACUGACGAGUUCCAAAUGGGACGAAACGCGCGUCGUGAAU
rnacentral:hammerhead_ribozyme from 1 species